rnacentral:lncRNA from 1 species
UAUCAGGCAGGAGCUAGCGAAGCUUAAGAAGGAGGUUGCUGCUGCUUAGAUCACUUUGGCGGGCAGACUGUUGAGCUUUUGGUCAGAGUUGUAUCUUUGCCCCAAAAUCGUGAAAUAUUGUGCGAAUCACUCAUCACUGUUAUUGGUGUAUCAGAUGAAAAUUUAGUAGUGUUUGAGAUUUUGCUGGACUUGUCAGGAUCCGAGAUGGUAUGUUAUCUAUCUGUUAUUUGUGAUGCCAUCUAAAUUCAUGGGCCUGGUGCUUGCUGUUAGUCUGCUGUGCCUGCUUACCUCCAGCGGUCCAAAAUCCUGGACCCCCCAGUGGCUCCACCGGGCAUUUUUCCUGGAACAGCUUUGUUCCAAUCGAUCCUGUUUAUGUU